AUGCCCCUUGAAGUCUUAUUACUGCUAUUUUGCUGUUCUUUCAUUGUCAGUUGUCGUAUUGAUUCGAUGCCUAUUUUGCUGUUCUUUCAUUGUCAGUUGUCGUAUUGAUUCGAUGCCCCUUGAAGUCUUGUUACUGCUAUUUUGCUGUGACUUCCAACUGCUUAUUACUGCGUCUUUUAAUGAUUACAUGAACACAUGAUGUUUGUGUAGACACAAUUUUGAGCAAGAUUUUUGUUUCUACAGAUUGAUAAUAGAACCCGAAGGGUGAUAGGCCACGAAGCAGAAUCAACUUGAUGGCGGGAAAGAUAGACAGGCCUGGGAGAAUGAGACGGCAGUGAUCGUGGGAUUAGGGAAGACAGACAUCUGCAAACAGGGCUUUGCUUGUUUUUAAGGAAAAAUUGAAGCAUCGAGGAAACUUCGUGCCGUGCGCUAAAGCAGUGAAGAAGAAGUCAGGCAAACUUGUCGUUGUAAGAAAAUGGGAUGCACUUUAUGCACUGAACUAGCCCUGGUCACACGAAACCUUUGACUACAUUACAGGAGUAGAAGUAGUCAUGUUACUGGAUCCAGGACUAAGAGGGAAGGCUUGCAUCAUUGGAUUAGUGUUGAUCGUUUUCUUCUUUCCUCUGCUCAGCUCCUCUUUAAGUGCCCGAGUUCUCUUCAGGCACUCUUGCUUUUCCUCUUCAAGUUAAAUCCCCUUCCAGUCGAAAAAGCUUCUCCUCACGGGAAACUUUACCAUGUCUGCAGUCUCCUAAUUCAGCAAUAGUUCUCUGCAUGUCAGGAAUCUCUUGCAUAGACAGGAUUUUAUCAGCCUUCAGUUCCUCGUUAUCCCCUGAUAAAAUAUGCAAUGAAGAUUCAAGUUUUUUAUUUUCAAAUUUGACCUCAUUAAGUGAUCUUUUAAGAUCCGGAAUCUCAUCUUGAAGCAGUGAUGUUUUCAGCAAUUGGAUCCUAAGGCUGGAAGUUUCUUCAGUAACUUGUUGCUUCUCAUAUGCAGAAACUUUAAGUUUUAAUUCCAGCCCCUUAACAAUGCUUUUAUGUUUCUCUUCUUUGGAUUUGACAUCUUCUAACAAUUCAAAUAGCUUUUAAUAAUCAGCAAUCAGAACUUCCUAGUUUUGUUUGGAAGCAGCAAGUUCAUGCACAACUCUAAGCACUUUAAUCUCUGAUUCCAUCUGGAGGGAACUGAGGUUGCUCUCAGAUAAUUCAAGUUUUCCAUGUAAUUCUUGCAGAGAAUCUUCCAGCAUAGCUUUAUCUGAACGCAAUUGAGGCACUUCAACCACAGCUAAUUCUGAAGCUGUCCUUUACUUUUUGUCAUGAGUAGCCGUUCAGUCAGAUAUGCAAUCUCUCUUUGAAGAUUCCCAGCUUCAACUGUCUUCUCUAAAUGAAUCUGAUUCAGAAUGCUCUCUUCCGUUGCAAGUUUCGUUUAUAUUUAUUGUUUUCUUGAAGAAGCUAAUCAAGUUCUACACUAAGGGCUAGCUAUUAAUUCGAGGUAAUUUCUUCCUGCAGCAAAAUAUGUUUACCUUCAAGAUCUUCUACUUCCUUGGACAUAUCAGGAAAAAAAUAAUUCAGAAUCCCUUAGCUCAGCUACCAAGACUGUACAAUGCUCAUGUAACUCCAUCUUUUGCUUCCUCAGUUCUGCAUUUGAUUUCUGAAGCAAACUGCAUUCUUCGAAAAGACUUUCAACAUUUGCAUGUCCUCAGCUUUUGCUUCCUAUCAACCUUUUGUGCCUCCAUUUCACUUUCCAAUAUUCUCAUUUCUUCUAGGAGACUCGUAUUACGAGGUUCUAAAUUAUGCAAUUCCACGAGGUUCGAUUCUCUAUCGUUGGACAAAUAUCUUAACUGUUCUACCAGCUACAUAUCCAGCUCUGACAACUUCUUCUCUAAAAUUUCCUUGGCUAAAGCCUGCAAACCCAAGUUACUACCAAGCACCGUCAUUUCAUUUCAUAAAUCAUCUAAGCAUUUAGAGGCCAUAGUGCUUUCUCUUAUCGUAGCUUCCAUAUUUUUCUGCAACCGCUGUUUCGCAUUCUGAAGAUUAGAAAUCUCAGUUUCUGGCCUCAUAUCAGAACUCCUUAGAGUAUCCAUCUCUUGUUCCUUCAAAGAAUUAAGCGUGAUAAACCACCAUAUCUUUAUAUCUUGAAUGAAUGAUAAACCUUCUUGUAUUUCUAUUUAGAAUAAUUAUUCAGUAAUAAUUUUUCUAUGCUCACAUGUGUACACAUGAUUUUUUAAGGAAUCUAUUAUACUUGGUGUUUUAUUAA